GACGAGGGGUCCUAGCGUCGUUCGGAAUCACUGGGCGUAAAGCGUUUGUAGGCGGCUUUUUAAGUCGGGUGUGAAAUCCCAUGGCUCAACCAUGGAAGUGCAUUCGAAACUGGAAAGCUUGAAUAUGGAAGAGGAGAGUAGAAUUCCUGGUGUAGUGGUGAAAUACGUAGAUAUCAGGAGGAAUACCGGUGGCGAAGGCGGCUCUCUGGUCCAAUAUUGACGCUGAGAAACGAAAGUGCGGGGAUCAAACAGG
rnacentral:rRNA from 1 species